GAGACCCACGCCAACAGUUGCCAGCACGUUCUCCGGAAUGGUGGGGACACUGUUGGGACCGCCUCUGCUAAAGAGGAGGAAGGAAUGGGCAACGGUAGGUCAGCAUGCCCCGAAUUACCCGGGCUACACGCGGGCUACAAUGGACAGGACAAUGGGAAUCGACACCGAGAGGUGAAGGCAAUCCCCUAAACCUGCCCUUAGUUCGGAUUGUGGGCCGCAACUCGCCCACAUGAAGCUGGAAUCCGUAGUAAUCGCGGAUCAACAUUCCGCGGUGAAUAU
rnacentral:rRNA from 1 species